AGCUUACUAUGCUUUCGAAAGUAUAAAAAAAUUCGUAAUUCCUAAUUUUUUUGAUUUUUAAAUUAAGUUUUUUGAUUAUUUCUGAUCUUUAAAUUAUUAUUAUUAUUCUAAAAAAAUUACUGAAUUUUAAGAGGGACCACUAUCAUCCGGACUGAUCCAAAGACUAAAAGGUGGGAAGCAUCAUUCGAUAGCAUAGUAACUCUAUACUGUUUAUGGAUACAAAUAUUAGAAAUUUUAUUCGAACUCAUAUCCGAACAAAAUACACUUGAUUUAUACUAAAUGAAUAUAAUUUUGAUUAUGGAUAUAAAAAACGAACACUCAACAAAUUUGAAUCUGCUAUGAUUUUUUAUAUAUAUUCGAUCAGAACCAAAACCAAAUCCAAACAGAUUUUGUAUUAUAUAAUAUAUAAGAAUGUAAAUUUAUAUUUUAAAAAUUUAGAUUUGAAUAUGAUAUGUUUUAGAACUUGGUAAAGAAAAAUGAUUGCUGUUGAGAUCGGGUUCCGAGAUUUGACUUUGGGUCUCUGUCAUUUUGUUGGGUUCAAUUUUGGUUAUGAAUUUUCAAAAUCCGAUGAGUUCGAGUUCGGAUUUGGAUUUUGGAAAAUCCACUCUAAAUCCGACCGAAUGCCAUAAUAUAGAUUAUCAAACAUAAGAAU
rnacentral:lncRNA from 1 species